AUUUUUGUAUUGUUCAAUGUUGUAAAAAUAUGAUUGUUUCUUAUUUGAUCAUAUAUGUAAUUUUAUUGAUCAAGUGAUGCAAAUAUUGGCUUUCCAGGAUAUAUUAUACGUCAUUACUUUUUGCUGGAGGAAAUCUUUCUUUUUUUCUUCUCAUUAUUUGCGUUCACUACAUUCAAGUGCUUUAAGUUUGAAGUGUCCCAACUAGGUUAAAUUUUGGGACUUGCCAUCUAUAUUUUCCGUUUUAGUUGGUGUGAGUAUUUAUUUGCAUGAAGUUGACACAGUAUUUUUACUCUCUUUACGAUCACUUUCCUUUCGUUCUUACUAACUAAUUCAAAGUUAUAUAAAAUAUUAAAGAUACCUUUAAAUUUUCUUCAUAUGCGUAUAAAAUCCUACAACCACCUUGUUUCACCAUUUUCAUCUUCACCUUGCCUCUCAACGCCACCACUUCGACCAACUAGAAGUUCUAUAAUGGCAAAUAGUGAGAGACGGGGAGGUAGGGGGUGAUCAACAUGGUGACAAUCGAGAUGGAAGUAUGAAUGUGAUGGUUGAUGACAAUAUUGGACUAAGUUGGUAUUAUUCUUAAGAAUUAAAUGAAAAUUUAUUGAAGAAUCAUUAUAAAAUUUAUAUUUAUAUUUAAGAGCAUUAAUAGAUAUUACUGUCUUUUAUAAGCCGCCUUGCAUAUGAUCCUUUUCUGCCCUCCAAUGUCAAACUUCUAUAGUGGUGAACCAGUCAUCAACAUGCCAUAUUUUUAGUUUUAUCCAAACCCAUCUGGUUAAGGGUCAGGUUUCAACCCAAAUCAUGAAGGAUUUUGCUGUUUCUGCCGGGAUUAAAUCUCGGGAUUAGAUCCAGAAUCGAGGUGGCGCGACCUCGACCCUGAAUUUGAAUUUUAAAAAUUCAAAUUGAGGGUUGAGGUCAUGCCACCUUGACCCCUAGAUCUAAUCCCUGUCCCCCGUUUUUGCAGCAGAACCCAAUCAUGAAUGGGUUAAGCC
rnacentral:lncRNA from 1 species